AUCGCUUCUCGGCCUUUUGGCUAAGAUCAAGUGUAGUAUCUGUUCUUAUCAGUUUAAUAUCUGAUACGUCCUUUAUCCGAGGACAGUAUAUUAAAUGGAUUUUUGGAGCAGGGAGAUGGAAUAGGAGCUUGCUCCGUCCACUCCGCGCAUCGACCUGGUAUUGCAGUACCUCCAGGAACGGUGCACCCCCC
rnacentral:snRNA from 2 species